AGGCUGUGAAGCGGAGCAAAUCUCAAAAACCGGUCCCAGUUCGGAUUGUAGGCUGCAACUCGCCUACAUGAAGUCGGAGUUGCUAGUAAUCGCGGAUCAGAAUGCCGCGGUGAAUGCGUUCCCGGGUCUUGUACACACCGCCCGUCACACCAUGGAAGUUGGGGGCGCCCGAAGUUGCCUAAGAAAUAAGGUACCUAAGGCGAAACCAGUGACUGGGGUGAAGUCGUAACAAGGUAAC
rnacentral:rRNA from 1 species